rnacentral:rRNA from 1 species
GACGAACGCUGGCGGCGUGCUUAACACAUGCAAGUCGAACGGAAAGUCCCUGCUUUUGUGGGGUGCUCGAGUGGCGAACGGGUGAGUAACACGUGAGUAACCUGCCCUUGACUUUGGGAUAACUUCAGGAAACUGGGGCUAAUACCGGAUAGGAGCUCCUGCUGCAGGGUGGGGGUUGGAAAGUUUCGGCGGUUGGGGAUGGACUCGCGUCUUAUCAGCUUGUUGGUUGGGUAGUGUCUUACCAAGGCUUUGCCGGGUAGCCGGCCUGAGAGGGUGACCGGCCACACUGGGACUGAGAUACGGCCCAGACUCGUACGGGAGGCAGCAGUGGGGAAUAUUGCAUAAUGGGCGGAAGCCUGAUGCAGCCACGCCGCGUGCGGGAUGACGGCCUUCGGGUUGUAAACCGCUUUCGCCUGUGACGAAGCGUGAGUGACGGUAAUGGGUAAAGAAGCACCGGCUAACUCCGUG